UGUAUUUUUACGUUCAUGGUACAGAGGAAGGGUCAAACUACCACCAGGGUCAUUGAAUACCCCUGAAAAUGCUUACAACGCCUACGGAAGCCUUGUCAAAUACGUGUUUAUAGGUGACGAGUUUUGACCCCGCGCCGUAUCAGCUGUUCUUAAGAGGUCAUUAAGGAGAUGAAUCGUGUUCCCGUGAGCGUCUUUUAACGUUGAUGGUACAGAGGAAGGGUCAAGCUACCACCAGGGUCAUUAACUACCUCUGGAAAUGUCCCCCACAACGCCUACGGAAGCCUUGUCAAAUAUGUGACUCAUUGACCUCAAGCAUCAACCGCCCCCAAAAUCAUGUUACCGUUGAUGAGGUUUCAGGCCCUGCUGCUGCUCUGCUUCUAAAAGGAGCGUGACACCAAGAUGACCUACCAGAAUGUGAGCAUCGUGCUGUCGCCCACCAUGCAGAUUUCUCACCGGGUGCUCAAUGUCUUCUUCCUCAACCGUGCCUACCUCUUUGGGGGAGUCGCCAUCAAAAAGUUUUGGGCGCCCAGCCGUACACGUGAACUAACAGUCUUGGCUUCAGGGCAGGUCGCUAAAAUGGGCUGUGAGGAGGAGGAGGAGGGAGGCUGUGGUGAGGAGGAGACUUGACAACACUACCAUCGCCAUCAGGCCAGGCUAAGGCCAAGCAGUGCAGAGGAGAAGGAGGAGGAGGAGAAGAAGGAGGAAGAAGAAGAGGAGGAUGUGAGUUCUAUACAUAAAGGCAGAUCAAUAUAUAGAAGCUUAUGGAGUAGAGGAAAUAUGUCAUUCUAUGUAUUAAAGAGGAUAAGAGGGAGGAGAAGGUUAACUUGUAAAUAUAGGCAGAAGUUUAUGUGCCAAGGAAAAUAUUUAAAUGAUUUGUAUUAUGCAUGUAUUGAAAUGGUAUGAACUUGGAUGUUUGUAUGUAUAAGGCUAUGGGAUUUACUUACAAGGUCUGUAGUGGUUUUUUUACUUAUAAGGUUGUACUCAGGAUUUUACUUAUAAGUUCUGUGGCUGUGGGUACCUCCUACAAAGCCUUUCUACUAUGGCUAUUAAUUAACAAAAACCUCUUUCUUUCAGCUUGUGUACUGGCUCAGAAAGUAGUGAAAGGGUGCAUGUUAUCUAUGAAGGCUAUAUCAAUAAGUAUGGAAGUGUGUUAUGGCUAUUAACAACAAUCUCUCUUUCAGCAUGUGUACGGGGAUAGAAAGUUACUUGGCAUAUAUUGAAAUGUCAUGCACUGAGAGUAUUUACGUAAAGGGCCGGGGUUAUUUCUUGUAAGGUACUGCGCAUGAUUUUACAUAUACAGCCUUUAGUGUUUCUUUAGGUUAAGGUAUUUCCUAUCCCAGCACGUAUAAGAAACUUGGGUAUGGAUUUAUGUGUGAGUUACUGAGUUGCAUGUAUACUAAAAUGUGUAUUUGGGAUUUUCGUCUUCUGUGUUUUAUAUAUGUAUAUCCUAAGAAUGGUGUUUUGUUGGGAAAAAAUGUUAUGCACUGGGGUUAUUUAUAUACAAAGUCUGUGGUUAUUUCUUCAAAAGGUAUUUCCUAUCCCAGUACGUAUAAGGAACUUGGUAUGGAUUGAAAUGUGCGUGUUACUGAGUUGCAUGUGUAUGUGCACUCAAUGUAUUGGGGUAUAUAUUGUGUAUUGGGGGUAUUUAUUUCAAGGUUAAAGUACUGAAUGGAGGGGAAUUUAUGUAGGGGAAAGGUCUGUAGUGGGGGUGUCGUAACUAACAACCUCUCCUGCAACAACUCCUACUGGUGCUUGUGUAUAGAUUUAAUUAUGUAUUGGAGAUAUGUAUUUGAAGGUUAAGAUGCUGGAUGGAAGGGUAUUUAUGUUGGGGUAAUAUGAUAAUGUCUGUAGGGAUUUGUCUUAACUUAACAACCCCUUCUGCAAUAGCUACUACUACUACUGGUGCUGUCCAUAACUUACAACACUUCCGUACUAGGAGUAUUAACAAAACCUUUUAAUUUCAGCUACCAAGGACAACCUCUUCUGCUCCGGGUAUCAACUCCUGCACUCCUGGGACUGGCAUAACAUCUGCAUGCCCUUGUAACAACUCACUCUGCUUCUGCUAUUCAUAACACCCCAUUCUGCGUCUGCUGUUGUAACAUGUAACAAAGGGCAUGGCUUCUGUAUACUAACUCCUGCUCGCAUAACCCACAUGGAUUUACACUUCUCUCUCUGCUUCUGGCCUUCGUAUCAACACAUUCUGCGCCUUCCUUCGUAACUAAUCCCACGGCUUCUCUGCAUGACAACUCCGGCUGCUUACGGCAAAAUUUCGCAUAACAAUUACUCCUGCUUACGUAUGACAAUUCUCUUUUGCUUUCGUAACAGCACGUAUGGCUUUUGCAUGUGAACGCAUUUCAUUUCUGCUGCGCACUAACCCACACUGCUGCUUUGAGUAUCCUAACGACCUAACCCGUUCUGUAAGCUGCCGCCCAGUGCUUCAGGUGACCCCUAACAAGCCUGUCGGAUCGGCGUCUAGCGAGGGAGGUUCUGUCAGGUUCCGUUCCCUGCUAGAGCUGUCUCCCUUCACCUUAAAAAAAAUAGUUUGAUAUAAUUUGAGAGCAGCAGUACAGGCCAGGUAUCAGAGAGGGGUUCAGGCCUAUAUGGGGACACCUCUGUUAGGCUUGUACCUCAAUAAAUAACUAGAAAAAAGUUGGAAAGUGUUAAACAAUGACCAUACGUAACCUAGUCAUGUGUGAAUCCUGACUAUGGAGGGAGAUUAUCCUCAAACACGUACGGUUAUAUAUAUAUACAUGUCUUUUACCCACCCAUGCGUGCAGUACGGGUGGUGAACUCUGACCUCUAUGAAAUAAAUAUACGUAACAGGAAAAAAAUAAA